UAAAGAAUUUAUGCUUGCAUAAAUUUUAGUCAGGAACCCUAGUGUUAAGGAAAGUUACCAUUUUCCAUUUGCAGAGGUGAAUGGAGUUAUAUAGUCACAAAAGAUCAAUUCUUCUUCCUCAGAGGGUUCCUCUAUUUGCUCUUUCAUAAAGAAUAACUCAGGAUGGGUAUGCAAAUUUUGGGGGAAUGUUUCCAAACCCCCCUGAACUGCCUGGCCUCACCCCCUCUCCCCUCAGUAGUUAGUUCUCACCUUUACAGGGUGAUGAGGGUUUUAAGAGACCAUGGCUGUGAGGAAAACAGCUGAGAAUAAUUGGGGGAAAUUUUCUGCUUCCAAUAACUUGGCCUAAAAUAACUAAAUGUAAAUAAAAUAGACAUUAACAAAACUAAAUCGUGGUAACUGUUACAUUAGAAUACAGGCAUUCUUCCCUCCCUGUGGGGGGAGGGAAAGGCUUACCUAAGAGUCAAAUUUUAAAGCUGCUUAAAAGAAAACCGAGCCUGGGGCGCCUGGGUGGCGCAGUCGGUUAAGCGUCCGACUUCAGCCAGGUCACGAUCUCGCGGUCCGGGAGUUCGAGCCCCGCGUCGGGCUCUGGGCUGAUGGCUCAGAACCUGGAGCCUGUUUCCGAUUCUGUGUCUCCCUCUCUCUCUGCCCCUCCCCCAUUCAUCGUCUGUCUCUCUCUGUCCCAAAAAUAAAUAAACGUUGAAAAAAAAAAAUAAAAAAAAAAAAAAAAAAAAAAAAAGAAAAAAAAGAAAACCGAGCCUUCAUCCAAGCAGCCUAUCUGGAAACUGAUGGAAACAUUAACAAAGAAUACAAUCAGGUGAAAGGUUAAUUUCCCUCCGACGCCUCUUCCUUAAUCCCUCUCUUACUUCACAGUGCACCAAGAAUGCUCUAGGCACUGGGGAAACCUGGGUAUCGUUGAGAGUUACCAGCAUCCUCACCGUUUUAGAGCCAAAGGGAAACAGAAUCAGUGUCAUCAUUCAAGCACGCCCAGAGCUGUGAACGAAUAACAUCAUCCACGUUUUCUCAGAGUGGGAGGCGACAAACCGCUUGGUGUUUUCUGUGGCCCUCAUACCUGCCUCUGCGGAGUCCACUGAGGCACCCCCUGUGGCUGGCUCGGAGGAGGAGGAAGGUGUGUGUGUAUCUCAGUGGUUGUGUGCAGUGUUCAGCAGGCUGUAACAUGGAUCGGAUGCCCUACGUUAAGCACGUGAACAAGAGCCAAGCCUCCAGUCUCGCACAAUCAAGUAACAGAAAAUACCAUCUCCAAGAAGGCGUUUCCUAUUGUCUAAACCCAGUCCACUUUGGUAACAUUAUGUUUACCUUUUCAUUGUAGGCUCAUUUGAUUGGCCAGCCAGUCUUAAGAAAGAGCUCACAAGUUUAUUGACAGAGGAUCUCCUGGAGAUGCCUCAUUAAGGCCAUUAACAUAAUGAAACCGUGAAAUUUUAGGGACGAAAAACAUUCUGAAAAUUCAAAUCAUCCUAACAAAAAUAAAACAAACAUCACUUGUGAUUGCGCGUGUCA
rnacentral:lncRNA from 1 species